AUGUUGAAGUUACCCCGUGUUCCUGUGGAAAACAGUGUUGCCUCAGGAGUUGCUUACUUGUUGUGUCAAAGUUCAGAAAUAAAAUGUUUGGCAGUUCAUAUUGAUCUGCGAAAACGUCUUACAUUUAGUACCAGAGGGUGUACUUUACUAGCUCGCGGUCGUUCUGUUUUCAACUGUUUGCGCCAUUUGAGAAUGCAGAAAUUUCCACCUGACGCACCACUAUCUCUUUUUUUGACCGCCUUGGGUCGUACUAGAAGUUCUUCAGUCGGGUGUCAUCUGUCAAGUUCAGUUUGUUUACAUUGGGUCUGCGGUAAUGAGCAAAAGGAGGACCAUCUGCUUAACCCGAGAUAUUUUUUACCUAACCUAUUUGACCUGACUAUUUUUGCACGCCUUAUAACGCGUAGUGAAUUAUAG
rnacentral:rRNA from 1 species